GUGUCACCCUGAGCCACUCGCACACAGGGGCACGGACACCCCCUCUCAUUAAAAACGGGUUGGAUUGCAUUCCAGGCCCAGCCUGCAAAGUUAAUGACGAGCUCGCAAUAAAGCACCCGCGUGGAUGUGAGCCUUGUACUGCCCCGCGAUGGCCGGCGUUUUUAUUAGUGGGCCUGGGCAGCGGGCCCGGCAGGCUGGUAUUUGACACGCAGACAAGGAUGUUCCCGGGCGCGCUGCGCGGCUGACUCACUUCAAAGUCCCAGCCCUGCUGGCUUGGUUUACACCUGAGCCAAUUAGCUCCGGAGAUCAGAAGAGGCCUGAAAACGGAGCCGAGCCCUUAUUCUCGGGAUGGAGAAAGUCACUUGAUCCCAGGCAAAGCCCUUUCCGCUGCCUCCUCACAGCUCAGCACUACACAACCCUCUCUGUGCAGCCACAUGGCCACCUUCCCCAGAAAGCCUCGAUCGUCCCCCUGAAAAGAACAGUCUGCAUUGCAUUUUUCCCACAGCACUUCUGUUUGGUAAACAGUGAAGCAGACAGAUCGUCUCCCAACUGGACAAAAAUUUCUCCAAAUGUAGGAUUAAUUCAUUACUUUAGUAAAUGUGUAUUGAACAUUGACCACAUGCCGGAAUCCACACUGAAUUCUGAAGUCUUUGGAGAGCAGGAGGCAUAUUUCCCACUACUACAAAAGAUCAGUGCCCUCACCAACAAGGCCCCGGGAGCUCUCUUGCUUGCUCCACAGUGUGAGGACACAGUGAGAAGUCGGCAGCUGCAAGAGGCCCCCAUCGGACCCCAACCCUGCUGGUGCCCUGAUCUCCCACUUCCAGCCUCCAGAACUGUGAGAAAUACAUGUUUAUUGUCUUAAAGUCACCUGGUCCAUGGUAUUUUGUUAUAGACCCCAAAGUAAGACACCACCCAUGAAAUUCA
rnacentral:lncRNA from 1 species